AGUGGGAGGGCAGAGCGAUAGAAACAGCGAGAAGGUGAAAGAAUAAAAGAGAGGUGAUGGCAGUGGUGGUGGUGGUGGUGGUGGUGGAGGAGGAGGAGAAGUGAGAAAAGGAACACAAAAAAAGCAGCAGUGAGAAGCGGAAGGUCCGAUACCCGGAGGUUCGAUACCCGGACCCUUUUCAAAAUCGUGGACGGGAGACCCUCACCACUUCCGAGUCUCCGUAGAAGGCGGCCAGGUCGAGGGGCGUGCGCCCGUUCUUGUCCGCGUGGUCGGUGGCGGCGCCGCUCUCCACCAGGCAGCGGACGACGGUCAAAUGGCCCUUCAGACAGGCCCAGCUCAGGGCGGUCAGACCCUCCUUGUCCAUCAGAGACAGAGAGGCUCCUGGGGGAGGAGAAGCGUGCGGCGGCUGAGAAUUUUAAUCAAAGGAGGACCACGGGGUAAACACAAGCACGAGAAAAAAGAAAAAUACAGCAAAUAUCCUCGUGUUCUCAGCUCCCGAGUUACGGAAAAUCUUCCUAUUUAUUUCUGUAUGUUUCUAUCUGUACUUUGGAUUCAUGUUCGUCGUUUUAAAAUGUGCUCUGAACCCAGGUUUCUCACCUUGAGCCAGUAGAAACUCAACGGUCCCCAGGUGCCCCUCCGAGGCGGCCAUCAUCAGAGGAGUACGACCCUGCUUGUCAGCCAGGUUGACAUCGGCGCCAUGCGUGAGUAGGAGGUCCACGAUCUGAAAAACACCCAAAUACAGCCACCCCCCCCGUGUCACGGUGUUAAACAUGGCGUUUGGGAGACGGAAGAACCAUUGGAAAUAGCUACAAGAACGUUUUUACUGCCUUUUGGAGUACUUUUGGGGGCACUAACCUGCCAGUGUCCCUGUCGGACGGCGCUGAACAGCGGCACGAUGCCUCGUCUGUUGGGCUGGGCCACGGCCGCCCCUUGCUCCAGCAGCAGGCGGCACACCUCCAGCUUCCCCCGACCGGAGGCGGCGGUCAGAGCUGGAACGCACAAACACACAAACGCGUUCGGGGUGAGAUGAGGACCAGCAGGGUGUACGGGGGAGGGGGGGCGGUUGGAAAGAAAGCUGAUACAGAGCAACAUUGUUAUUCAUUUGGAGUCAUGUUUGGGUUUCGUUUGAUGAUUGAUAUAAAAAAGAUGGUAAAUAUUGGUCGAGACCACCGGCUCCGGAGGGAAAUAUCGGCCUCAUAUAGCAGCUAAAUGCUUCUGUGUGUUCACCGGCGAGUUUCUCCCCGGGUCCGAGCGGUGAACAGUGGCUUCUUAGAGCCGCUUCGGCUUCUUAGCGCCGCUUCGGAUGCUAAUAGGUUCAUGUAUUGAUAUUUGCAAAAUACAAAAAUAUAAAUUAUUGCUGAAAAAAAUAAAUAAUAAUAAUCUGUGCUCCA